UCAAAUGUUACGAUUAGAAAUAGUAGAAGUGAUUUGACCUUUCAGAGAGCCGUUGGGUGGUGCGAAACGGUAGCGUUAGUCAUUUUGAACUCGUCUAUGAACAGCUGCCUGAUCAUGUAGGGUAAGCCGGAGUUCCACCGUUACAGGGAUAGAUGGUGAUUGCCAUCGAAAAAGAUCAUUUUCCAGCCGGGAAAUGAAUUAGAGUGGUACCGCGGAUUCAACCCCGUCUCUAUA
rnacentral:ncRNA from 1 species